rnacentral:rRNA from 1 species
UACGUAGGCAGCGAGCGUUGUUCGGAGUUACUGGGCGUAAAGAGUGCGUAGGCGGUUUUCUAAGUUUGGUGUGAAAUCUCCCGGCUUAACUGGGAGGGUGCGCCGAAGACUGGAAGGCUUGAGUAUGGGAGAGGUAAGCGGAAUUCCUGGUGUAGCGGUGAAAUGCGUAGAUGUCAGGAGGAACACCUGCGGUGUAGACGGCUUACUGGACCAUCACUGACGCUGAGGCGCGAAAGCGUGGGGAGCAAACAGG